UUGAAAGGGAAACGAUUGAAGUCAGUCGUACCGACGAGAAAUCAGCUUUUUGAAUGUGCAUUUGUGGGCGUAUGAGAUCUCCAUUGUUUGCAAUAUGCGUAUUUUUUUGGUGUACUUUUUCGUAUGGUAGGUCAACGUCGGUUUUGGUCGCCAUAAAAUGACCGGAGGAAUGUAGCUUCGGCUUCGGUUGAAGUGUUAUAGCCUUUGGUAGAUGUGGUGAUUAAGACCGAGGAUUGCAACGAAUACCUUUUAGGCUAUCCGUCUGACCUCUGAAAGUUACUUAGGUGCCGAAAGCUUGCUUACGGUCAUUUAAGUUGACGGUCAAUAGGUUAGAACGUGAUUACAUUCGUUAAGGAUGUUGACGUA
rnacentral:rRNA from 1 species